GGAUCACCGCAAACCGCCACUAGAAACAGGCCAUAUGAGCGGAAGACGAACGAUGCGUGCUGCUUGCGACGACGCCGAGGACAUGCACCGCGCCAAGGCCCGGGCAAAGCAGCAGCGCUGGCAGGAACGCCAGGAGCGCUCCAAAGAAAGCCGCGAAGAGAUUGACAGGCUGCAGCUGCGCUGCGCCGAUAUGCGUCGCGAAUUGGAGGACAUCGCCGAGUCGAACGAGGCGAACACGUCCACGGAGCACCAGUACUCCAAGUUCACAGAGCUGCCCAUCUCGCAGCGCACCCAGAUGGGGCUGGAGCGCGGCCAUUACACGAUACUCACACCCAUUCAGAAAGGCACGCUUCACCUGGCCCUCGCCGGCCUCGAUGUCCUUGGCGCGGCCAAGACAGGUUCUGGCAAGACCCUCUGCUUUGUAAUCCCGGUUCUUGAGCGACUCUAUCGCGAGCACUGGUCAUCAGACAUGGGGGUCGGGGCACUGCUUCUGAGUCCCACGCGCGAGCUGGCCCUUCAGAUCUUCAAGGUGAUGCAGCUCGUAGGCUACAAGCACGUCCUUUCGGCGGCGCUCCUCACCGGCGGCCGCGAUGUGCAGGAGGAGCGCAAGCGGCUGCACGCCAUCAGCAUCAUCGUCGGCACCCCAGGCCGCGUCCUUCACCACCUCCAGGAUGACGCGGAGCUUGUCCUCGACAACAUGCAGCUCUUCUGCAUGGACGAGGCGGACCGGCUGCUUGACAUGGGCUUCCGUGAGGCCAUCACCAGCAUUCUCGCGUACCUGCCACCACAACGGCAGUCGCUCCUCUUCUCAGCUACUCAGACGACUGAUGUGCAGAUGCUCGCCCAGAUGUCCCUCAAGAACCCGCGAUACGUCUCCACGCAGGCCAUCACGGCCGCUCCGACGCCGAUGACGCUGUGCCAGAAUUUUGUUGUUGUUGAGCUGCACAAGAAGCUGGAUGCGCUGCUGAUGUUCCUGAAGCGCCACCCGGACGACAAGAUCGUCGUCUUUGUGAGCACCUGCAACCAGGUAAAGUUCAUGCACCUUGCGUUCUCCAAGAUCCUCAAGAAGAUGCGCAUCCCCUCCAUGUGCCUGACCAGCAAGAUGAAGCAGUUCCGUCGCGAGGAGGUGUUUCUGACCUUCUGCCGCUGCAAGUCGGCAGUGCUUUUCUGCACCGACGUCGCCUCGCGUGGGCUCGAUUUUCCACUCGUGCACUGGGUCGUGCAGUACGACUGCCCGGAGAGCGCGCAGACCUACAUCCACCGUGCCGGUCGCACGGCGCGUGCUGGGGCGCGUGGGGUGAGCCUGCUCUUCCUCACCCCCCGUGAAACGCCGAUGCUGAGCUACCUGCACCACAAGCAUGUCCCGAUGCGGGAAAUCGCCAUCAAGCCCGACUUCCUCACCUCCUCGAAGGAGAUAUUCGUUGCGCUCGUGGUACAGGGUCUGAAGUACGAAGCACAGAAGGCCUUCAUCGCGUACCUGCGCUCUGUCUACUUUGCCUCCAACAAAAAUGUCUUCGAGGUGGCUGCCGUCGACGUGGAGGCGUUUGCGAAGUCGCUCGGCUUGCCCGUUGUGCCAGACAUGUCAGAGCUGCAGAACCUGCAACGCAGCGCCAAGAACUUGCCAUGGGACGUCGUCAACUUCAUCGCGCAGCGCGGCGGUGGCGGCGCUGACAAGGCCGGCAGCACCCUGACACGGAAGGAGAAGCACCUACAAGCAACGGACAUGCACCGCGUCAUGGAGCAGAAGCAGCGGUUUGCCAACAAGAAGGGUGCGCUGUGCGGUGAUGACUCGAGUGGGGGCGACGGCUCUUCGGGCAACGCGGACAGCGACGACGACGACUUUCUUGUGAAGAAGGAGCCCGCUGGCGCCUCCGGUAGCGGCGCAUCUGUCUCUGUCAAGGCUGGCACACUCAUCGCAGACUCGAACCCAUUGCACCUGACCGUGGAGGAGCGCCUCGCAGGCCUCUCUAAGAACAAGCGUCGGAAAUUGAUUGAAAAUGCAGACAUUCGCGUGCGCGACUUGGGGCUCAACCAGCGCAUUAUCUUCGACGACGACGACGAGUCAGAUGAAGAAGCCGACACCAUCGGGAAUGGCGGCAGAAGCGGGGCGAAAGGCAACGCGGCACACUCGUCUCCCAGCGACGACGAUGCUGACGAGGAAAAUGAAACCACCGUCUCGGGCCUGCUCAAGCAUGCCGUGCUGCGGCACCGCGUGGAAGACCGCAGAGACGCUGACAGUAGCAACGACGACGCCGACGACGCGGACUUCACGGCAAAGCUGCGAACGCGCGUGCAAGCCAACAGGGCCGACGACCUCGAACGCGCCAAGAAGAUGCGGCGGCUGCGACGCCUGCAACGGCAAGGCCGCGUAUCGCGCAAAUCGACUGUCGACGAGAGCGGCAUAAAGACUGCCAACGGCGGACCUCGCCCGGCCAACUCGGACGAUGAUGCGUAUGACGGCAGCGGCGACUACUACGAUGAGGACGUGGACGGCAGCGACGCCGAGAGCACCGGCUCCAUCAGCCGUCUUCUCAAGGCGGCACGCGGCGAGCUCUACAGCGACGACGAUGACGACGAUGACGACGAGGACGGCGAAGAAGAGAAGAGCCUCUUCGGCGGGUCGGGUGCUGCUCGCAAGCGCACACGUGAAAAAUGCACAUAUCACGGCAUUGAUAGCAGCGACGACAACUGCAGUGAGAAGGACGCCGACGACGUCGCCUCUCCGCCGCCGCCGCCGUUGAGGAGGCCUAGGCAGAGGCGCUGAUGAUAUAUACAUAUCAAAAAAAAAAAGCGACGCCGCAGAAGAUACGCCCCUCCCCCUUUUUCUCUCCCCGCCUCUGCUGUCCACGCCUUGUCCAGCACCGUUGUGCAACACGGAAAUUAUGGUGUGAUCGUUUUUGUCGUUUUGCUCGUCAGCGCAGUGGGGGAGGGGAGGGGAGGGGGAGAGGUGAAAAAGGCGGAAAGUGGCGGACGAGCGAGCUGGUGGGCGUAGACGGAAGUCUGCACGACUUGUGUGCUGUGCCCCGCUGUUGUCGCGUAAGUGUGCUUUGUUUUUUGUUCUUGUUGUUUUGCUCCGUUUCACGUUUAAAAGCAUGAUAAGCUAACGCCUAGGCGCCUUGAUGUCUUUGUUGUGGAUUCGGUGCCGGCGAUGUUUUGCCCUCCCUCCCGCAUUGUGUUUCACGUCCACGCCCGCACCUCUUCCUCUGAAACUCCUGCCGCUUCAACGCCCUUUCGCUCGCUUCCCUUCGCAGCGCUGCGGACGGCCUGCAUCAGGGUGUCGGCAAGUGCGGAGGAGAGACGGGUGAGAAACUGCCGCUGCGCCCGCCCUUUCCACCUCACUGGUAGCCCUCUUGAGCUGGACGCGAGACACUAGCGGGAGACUGGCAAGCACUCUGUCGGCAGGAGACGGAUCCUAAUCGACUGAGGAUCUGAGAGGAUGCCCUCGCAAUCAUGAUAACCAUGUGAGAGUGGGGAGGGAGGGGAGGGGAGGGGGCUCAUCGAGCAGGUUGGAGACGUCCUCUUCUUCUGUCUUGUUGGCAGCGCGAGUGGCAAAGCGGCUCCCUUUGCUCUCCUCCCCCGCCUUUCUCUUCUUCUUUGUUAUUGAAAGCGGGUGUACUCGUCGUGCCUGCAUAUGUGCGUGUGCGUGUGCGUGUGCGUGUGCGUGACUCCCAAUGCAGUCACCGGCGCGUAAGUCAGGCAGAGCAAAGCACGAAAAGAAAACGGGGAAUGUGCGCUGCACGUGCACUGUGCACGUAUGAUGCGCUCUCCUGCUCACAUUCUUGAGAAGAAUCCACACACAGAAUAUGCAGAGAUCGGGGGAGAUGGAGAGGUGGAGAAUUCCAUGCUGGCUUUUUGCUAACGCAUCUCGCAUCCUGCUGCUCGUUGGCAUCUCCAUUUGCAUUCACGCCUUCUCCCCUCCCGCGAGACCCGCGCCUAAGGUAGACGCGAAGAGAAGGGAAAGGAAAAGGGCGGCAUGUGUGGCGCCGCAAUCAAGUGCCAGAGCUGCCCGUCCGCUCUCAAGUGCGUCUUCACAGUUCUCUGUUGUGUUUACCCUGCACUGGCCCUCUCCGUCGCCAUCAUCU
rnacentral:misc_RNA from 1 species